rnacentral:rRNA from 1 species
UACGUAGGGUGCAAGCGUUGUCCGGAAUUAUUGGGCGUAAAGAGCUCGUAGGCGGUCUGUCGCGUCUGCCGUGAAAGCCCAGGGCUUAACCCUGGGUCUGCGGUGGGUACGGGCAGACUAGAGUGUGGUAGGGGGAGACUGGAAUUCCUGGUGUAGCGGUGAAAUGCGCAGAUAUCAGGAGGAACACCGAUGGCGAAGGCAGGUCUCUGGGCCACUACUGACGCUGAGAAGCGAAAGCAUGGGGGAGCAAACAGG